AUGGGGAAGAAAGGUAUAGUGGUGGCGACCACCGUCGUCGCCGUGAUGACUGUCAUCUUCGGAGUCAUCAGCGCGGUUUUCUUGGGACAGAGACGCUAUGAGGAUGACCACGAUGACCGCAGCGUGUGUAAGUACGAGCGAUCGCCGGCGACGGCUUGCGGCGUCGUGGCGGCCGUGCUGGCGCUAACGACACAGGUUCUCGCCAGCGUGGCCAUCUGCUGCUGUGGGGCAUGGCAGAAUCCCAAGAGGGCCAAUCGCAUCGCCGCCGUCGUUUUCUAUGUCAUCUCAUGGAUCCUAGCGAUCAUAGCGGUGCUAGCUUUCCUGGGAGGCGCCCUAUUAGGGAUUGAAGGAUCUAUGGAGAAAACUAUUGGGAAUAGUAGUUGUGUCGGAGGUGUCGCAGUUUUCGUGGAAGCGACAUUUCUGUUUCUUGUAGUUGUCGCCCUUGUGGUCUCCUCGUAUCUUCUUAUUCAGAGAAAUGACCACUACGAAGCAACCGCGGGCAAUAAUCCUCCUUUGGUACCAACCGCUACAUCUCCUUCGGCACCAACAGCUACAUCUAAAGACAGCGCCUACGCUUCUACUCCUGCGCCAGCAAAUCAAGUCUGA
rnacentral:rRNA from 1 species